UCAGGAGCCGUCACAGGUGCUGCAUGGCUGUCGUCAGCUCGUGCCGUGAGGUGUAUGGUUAAGUCCUGCAACGAGCGCAACCCUCGUCGCUAGUUGAUUUCUCUAGCGAGACUGCCCCGCAAAACGGGGAGGAAGGUGGGGAUGACGUCAAGUCAGCAUGGCCUUUAUAUCUUGGGCUACACACACGCUACAAUGGAUGGCACAAUAGGUUGCAACAGCGCGAGCUGAAGCUAAUCCCCAAAGCCAUCCUCAGUACAGAUUGCAGGCUGAAACCCGCCUGCAUGAAGUCGGAGUUGCUAGUAACCGCAAAUCAGCAUGUUGCGGUGAAUACGUUCUCGGGCCUU
rnacentral:rRNA from 1 species